rnacentral:rRNA from 1 species
UGCAAGUCGAACGCGAAAGUGGAGCAAUCCAUGAGUAGAGUGGCAAACGGGUGAGUAACACGUGGGUGACCUGCCUUCGAGUGGGGGAUAACGUCCCGAAAGGGACGCUAAUACCGCAUAACAUGCUGCCUUUGAACAGGCGGACAUCAAAGCUGGGGAUCGCAAGACCUAGCGCUGGAAGAGGGGCCCGCGCCUGAUUAGCUAGUUGGUGAGGUAACGGCUCACCAAGGCAACGAUCAGUAGCCGGCCUGAGAGGGCGGACGGCCACACUGGGACUGAGACACGGCCCAGACUCCUACGGGAGGCAGCAGUGGGGAAUUGUUCGCAAUGGGCGCAAGCCUGACGACGCAACGCCGCGUGGAGGAUGAAGACCUUCGGGUCGUAAACUCCUUUCGAUCGAGACGAAUUCCCCCGGGGUGAAUAAUCCUGGGGGUUGACGGUACCGAGAGAAGAAGCCCCGGCUAACUCCGUGCCAGCAGCCGCGGUAAUACGGGGGGGGCAAGCGUUGUUCGGAAUUACUGGGCGUAAAGGGCUCGUAGGCGGCCAACUAAGUCGGACGUGAAAUCCCUCGGCUUAACCGGGGAACUGCGUCCGAUACUGGAUGGCUUGAAUUCGGGAGAGGGAUGCGGAAUUCCAGGUGUAGCGGUGAAAUGCGUAGAUAUCUGGAGGAACACCGGUGGCGAAGGCGGCAUCCUGGACCGAUAUUGACGCUGAGGAGCGAAAGCCAG